GUUCUACUUCCAUGUUGAUGGGAAUGAUCUUGGUCGGGCUGGCUACAGUUGUGGUGGAAAGCGCGGUUACAUCCAUAUAUAUCUGUUACGCGGAAGAUCCUGUGUUAAUACAGAGAUGGGAUGCGGAGUUUUUCAACAAGAUGUCGGAGAUGCUACACCAGCGAUUACAACACAGAAGUUCACGGGCAACACAAGUAUUCACCAGCAGAUUCGACAACCAAACGCCA
rnacentral:misc_RNA from 1 species